UCCAAAUCAGAUUCAAUUAACUAAUUUCAUACUUUGGUUUGGAUACUAACUGAGAUGCAAGAUUUGUAUUUUUUAUUGCUGGUUGUGGUUAAUAAUUGUUUGGCAAUUAAAAUGAAUUUGUUAGUUUUCUAUGUUUACAUGUAUUUCUUUUGCUUCAGUUUAACAUUAUUUUCAAAUAGUUCCACUUUGUAAUGGUGUGUUAUAAUAUAGACAUAAUAAUAAUAUAAGCAAACAGGUUUACAUGGCACUCGAACAUGGUCUUUUCAAUGAGUAUGUAAAGGUAAGUUUAUACUUCAAGAAUGUCUGUUUUUAACCUGACAAGAAUGCUGUCCAAAAUUAACUAAAACUCAAUCUUUGUGACCUUUCAAUGAAAUUUCAUAUGUUCAAUCGACAACUGCUACUACUGUAGGAUGUCUUUUGAUGUUUGUGUUUGGUUUGCUGUUGAUACUAGAAAUUGAUGAAAAUGCAGUAUAUCAUUUUGUUUACAAGUUGAGAGAGAUUCUAAGGAUUUUUAUGGAAACUGAUUGUUCCUUGUGAGGACUUUGAGCAAAACUGUUUGUCUACUUUUGAGUUAGCAAAG